UGGAUGGAAAGUAAAAAUCGUAACAAGGUUUCCGUAGGUGAACCUGCGGAAGGUUCAUUAACGAGUGUAGGGUUCCUAGCCCCCGGGCCCGCGCCCGCCGGAGACACCACGAACUCUGUCUGAUCUAGUGAAGUCUGAGUUGAUUGUAUCGCAAUCAGUUAAAACUUUCAACAAUGGAUCUCUUGGUUCCGGCAUCGAUGAAGAACGCAGCGAAAUGCGAUAACUAGUGUGAAUUGCAGAAUUCCGUGAAUCAUCGAGUCUUUGAACGCACAUUGCGCCCCCUGGUAUUCCGGGGGGCAUGCCUGUCCGAGCGUCAUUGCUGCCCAUCAAGCACGGCUUGUGUGUUGGGUCGUCGUCCCCUCUCCGGGGGGGACGGGCCCCAAAGGCAGCGGCGGCACCGCGUCCGAUCCUCGAGCGUAUGGGGCUUUGUCACCCGCUCUGUAGGCCCGGCCGGCGCUUGCCGAACGCAAAUCAAUCUUUUUCCAGGUGACUCGAUCAAAACGCACUCCAUUACC
rnacentral:rRNA from 1 species